ACAAAGAGAAAAAGAAGAGAGAGAAACAAAUAGCAGAAUAAAAUAGAUUAGUAUUGUUGUUGUUUAGUUCAUAUUAUUAUUAUUUGGGUUGGAAGGAAUGAAUGUAAGAAGGGGGCAGGUAGUGCUGCAACGGUGUUUAUGUUAUUGAGAAGCUCAACAUCAAGAAGCUCUGCAAGGGAGGAGAACAGAGGAGGAGACAGCGAGCCAGGAGGAAUAAGAGGGGAAGGC
rnacentral:lncRNA from 1 species